rnacentral:rRNA from 1 species
UAGGGAAUCUUCCGCAAUGGACGAAAGUCUGACGGAGCAACGCCGCGUGAGUGAUGAAGGUUUUCGGAUCGUAAAACUCUGUUGUUAGGGAAGAACAAGUACCGUUCGAAUAGGGCGGUACCUUGACGGUACCUAACCAGAAAGCCACGGCUAACUACGUGCCAGCAGCCGCGGUAAUACGUAGGUGGCAAGCGUUGUCCGGAAUUAUUGGGCGUAAAGCGCGCGCAGGCGGUCCUUUAAGUCUGAUGUGAAAGCCCACGGCUCAACCGUGGAGGGUCAUUGGAAACUGGGGGACUUGAGUGCAGAAGAGGAGAGUGGAAUUCCACGUGUAGCGGUGAAAUGCGUAGAGAUGUGGAGGAACACCAGUGGCGAAGGCGACUCUCUGGUCUGUAACUGACGCUGAGGCGCGAAAGCGUGGGGAGCGAACAGG